rnacentral:rRNA from 1 species
UACGUAGGCAGCGAGCGUUGUUCGGAAUUACUGGGCGUAAAGAGUGUGUAGGCGGUGUUCCCAGUCUGUUGUGAAAUCUCCCGGCUUAACUGGGAGGGUGCAGCGGAAACUAGAAUGCUAGAGGGUGGGAGAGGUAAGCGGAAUUCCUGGUGUAGCGGUGAAAUGCGUAGAUAUCAGGAGGAACACCUGUGGUGUAGACAGCUUACUGGACCACUUCUGACGCUGAGACACGAAAGCGUGGAUAGCAAACAGG